rnacentral:lncRNA from 1 species
UCUAUGAGAAGAAAUUUAAGUAUCAACAGCAACUUGAAAAUGUUUAAUUUUGAGUACUUCUCCAAAUCGUUUAUCAAGUUUUAGGUACCAACAUUGAUUUAUUAAUCUAUCUCUUCUUUUAAUUUUCUUUUAAUAAUUUAAUAAAUAAAAUGAUAUGCUAUUGAAAAGAAAAUUUUAUAUAAUUUAUAAAAAAUCAACUAAAAAUGUCAGUUUUGCAAAUUCAAUCACAUUAUAAUUUAUAGACAUCACUUAUGUUGAAAUCACUCUAUGAGUUUGGUUUCCUAAGGAAAUAUAUAUAAAAUGUAACCAUACGUAGUCAGUCAUAAAAUACAUUUUAAAGAAAUUAAAAUAGUAAAAAAUAAUAUUAUACAAGGAAUACCCAAAAUAUAUCAUGUGAUGAAUUUUAGAUUUCAAUCAAAACCGAAUAUCCAGAAUUAUCCAACAAAUAGUAUCAACUUUAAUUACUUUUGAUUCAAUUUAUUUAUUUGAAACAGCAUAUUUUUCUUUUUUGAUGAUAAAAAUUAAAUAUUGUUCCAGAUUGAAUGUUGAAAAAGAUUUAAGAAUGGCCGUCUCAAGUAUAAAACCUACUAACAAUUAAUUAAGUCUAAGAUUCAAGCACAGGUCGCUAUUUAAAUUAUUUUCGUUUUAUAAUUUCAAAAUCAUUAAAACGUUAAUAAUAUUGUUAUAUCAAUUUCAUUAAUUUUUUUUAAUUGUAUUUUGGAAUUUAUAUUUAUUAACUAAAUAUUGAAUUGCCUAAAAUCAAAAAUUUCAUGUAUAUAAACAUACAUAUUGUAUAUAUACAAUAUACUUAUAUAAUGUUGGUAAGGGGUCGCCUCAACAAAAUAAAUAAAUUGGGGGUCGUGGAUCUAUAAAGGUUGUACACUACUGACUGCUCUAUAUGAUAAAGUAUUUUGUAUUUUUGUGUUAAAUUUGUUUAUUCAUAUAUUAUUGUUCUAAUUAUUAUUUAUUACAAAUUAUAUUACA